UCAAGUAAAGAAGAGCAUCAGGUGGAUGCCUUGGCACUGGGAGCCGAAGAAGGACGUGAUAAGCUGCGAAAAGCUAUGGUGAGGAGCACAUAUCCCUUGACCCAUAGAUAUCCGAAUGGGGGAACCCAUCAGUGGUAAUGCACUGGUACCGUAUGGUGAACACAUAGUCAUACGGAGGGAACGGGGUGAACUGAAACAUCUAAGUAGCCCUAGGAAGAGAAAGAAAAAUCGAUUUUCAAAGUAGCGGCGAGCGAAAUGGAAAGAGGCCAAACCUAACUGCUUGCAGUUAGGGGUAGUGGACCACCAAAAAGUUGAAGACUUAGUGAGCUGAAUAGUACUGGAAAGUACAAACGAAGAGGGUAAAAUUCCCGUAAGCGAAGCGAAGUCAAGACAGGUGGCACCGGAGUAGGACCGGACACGAGGAACCCGGUUUGAAGCAGGAGGGACCACCCUCCAAGCCUAAAUACUACCCAGUGACCGAUAGAGGAAAGUACCGUGAGGGAAAGGUGAAAAGAACCCCGGGAGGGGAGUGAAAUAGAAUCUGAAACCUAAUGCUUACAAGCGUAGGGAGCGAAAGUGACCUAGUACUUUUUGUAGAACGGGCCAACGAGUUAUGGUAUGUAGCGAGGUUAAGUUACUGGAGUAACGGAGCCGAAGAGAAAUCGAGUCUUAAAAGGGCGAAAGUUAUAUGCUGUAGACCCGAAACCGGGUGACCUAUCCAUGAGCAGGUUGAAGUAACCGUAAAAGGUUAUGGAGGACCGAACUUAUAUCUGUUGAAAAAGGUUAGGAUGACUUGUGGAUAGCGGUGAAAUUCCAAUCGAACUCGGAUAUAGCUGGUUCUCCUCGAAAUAGCUUUAGGGCUAGCCUCAAGUCAAGAUACACGGGGGUAGAGCACUGAUUGUUCGCGGGGCCUUCACCGGCUACCAACAACUCUCAAACUCCGAAUACCGUGAUAUUAAACUUGGGAGUCAGACUAUGAGAGAUAAGUUCCAUGGUCGAAAGGGAAACAGCCCAGAUCAACAGCUAAGGUCCCAAAGAGUAAGUUAAGUGGAAAAGGAUGUGAGAUUGCACAGACAGCUAGGAUGUUGGCUUAGAAGCAGCCAUACAUUUAAAGAGUGCGUAAUAGCUCACUAGUCGAGUGAUGUUGCGCCGAAGAUAAACGGGGCUAAAACUUACCACCGAAGCUUUGGAAUUAGGAAUAAUUGGUAGAGGAGCAUUCUAUACGGGUAGAAGUUGAGCUGAAAGGCGAGGUGGACUGUAUAGAAGAGAGAAUGUUGGCAUGAGUAGCGUAAGGCGGGUGAGAAUCCCGUCCGCCGAAAAUCUAAGGUUUCCUGAGGAAGGUUCGUCCACUCAGGGUUAGUCGGGGCCUAAGCCGAGAGCGAAAGCUGUAGGCGAUGGACAACAGGUAGAAAUUCCUGUACCACCGAGGAUUGCAUGAAUGAAGUGGGGACACAGAAGGAUAGGUUGAGCACGCCGUUGGUCGAGCGUGUCUAAGCAGAGAGGCUAAUAUGUAGGCAAAUCCGCAUAUUGAAAGGCUGGUCUGUUAUGGGGAGUCGAUAGAGACGAAGCAACUGAUUUCACGCUGUCAAGAAAAGCCGCUAAUUAGAUCCAAGGUGCCCGUACCGCAAACCGACACAGGUAGAUGAGGAGAGAAUCCUAAGGUGAGCGAGCGAACUAUUGUUAAGGAACUCGGCAAAAUAACCUCGUAACUUCGGGAGAAGGGGUGCCUGCGAAUGCAGGCCGCAGUGAAUAGGUCCAGGCAACUGUUUACCAAAAACACAGGUCUCUGCUAAAGCGAAAGCUGAAGUAUAGGGGCUGACGCCUGCCCGGUGCUGGAAGGUUAAGGGGAAGUGUUAGCGUAAGCGAAGCAGUGAACUUAAGCCCCAGUAAACGGCGGCCGUAACUAUAACGGUCCUAAGGUAGCGAAAUUCCUUGUCGGGUAAGUUCCGACCCGCACGAAAGUCUAACCUGGUACCGUUAACCGGUAUGGGGACAGUGUCUGGUGGGCAGUUUGACUGGGGCGGUCGCCUCCUAAAGAGUAACGGAGGCGCCCAAAGGUUCCCUCAACGCGGACGGAAAUCGCGUGAAGAGUGCAAAGGCAAAAGGGAGCUUGACUGCGAGACAUACAGGUCGAGCAGGGACGAAAGUCGGGCUUAGUGAUCCGGUGGUUCCGAGUGGAAGGGCCAUCGCUCAACGGAUAAAAGCUACCCCGGGGAUAACAGGCUUAUACCAUCCAAGAGUUCACAUCGACGAUGGUGUUUGGCACCUCGAUGUCGGCUCGUCUCAUCCUGGGGCUGAAGUAGGUCCCAAGGGUUGGGCUGUUCGCCCAUUAAAGAGGUACGCGAGCUGGGUU
rnacentral:rRNA from 1 species